GCAUAGGAGAUCUCGUCAAGGAAUAUCGCAAAUCAGGUGAGCCUUGAUGUGGGGACUUGGGCCGGAGGGGAUUCAGAGUAGCCACGGUGAUCGUCUUUUGGCUUUUAAACAAGUGUUGGUUUUCAUUAAAUUUCCUUUAAUUAUUAUUUAUUUUUGGGUUGUAAUAAGGCCAUUUUCACUUUGCUUUUAUUUCUUUUCGGGAUUAUUUUAAUUUUAAUAACUUCAAACCUGGUUGAUAA